UAUCCUGGCUCAGAACGAACGUUGGCGGCGUGGAUUAGGCAUGCAAGUCGAACGAAUCCCGGGGCCGUCGCAAGACGGCGCCGGGGGAAGUGGCGAAAGGGGCAGUAAGGCAUGGCUAACCUACCCCGGGGACGGGCAUAGCCUCCCUAACGGGAGGGUAAUUCCCGGCGAGCUGCCGAGGGGGCAUCCCCUUGGCAGGAAACGAGUUUCGCCUCGGGAGGGGGUCAUGUGCUAUUACCUGGUUGGCGGGGUAACGGCCCACCAAGGGGAAGAUGGCUAGCGGGUGUGAGAGCACGACCCGCGCCACUGGCACUGAGACACUGGCCAGACUCCUACGGGAGGCUGCAGUCGAGGAUCUUCGGCAAUGGGCGCAAGCCUGACCGAGCGACGCCGCGUGCGCGAUGAAGGCCUUCGGGUUGUAAAGCGCUGUCGAGGGGGAGGAAAGCCGCAAGGUCCUCACCUAUCCCUGGAAGGAAGACACGGGGCUAAGUUUACAGUGC
rnacentral:rRNA from 1 species